rnacentral:rRNA from 1 species
GACGAACGCUGGCGGCGUGCUUAACACAUGCAAGUCGAACGCAGUGGCGAACGGGUGAGUAAUACGUGAGUGACUGCCUUUGACUCUGGGAUAAGCCUGGGAAACUGGGUCUAAUACCGGAUUGUCUUAGAUGGGCUCACGGCCUAUCAGCUGGUUGGUGGGGUAAUGGCCUACCAAGGCGCCGACGGGUAGCCGGCCUGAGAGGGGACCGGCCACACUGGGCGGAGACAGGGCCCAGACUCCUACGGGAGGCAGCAGUGGGGAAUAUUGCACAAUGGGCGCAAGCCUGAUGCAGCGGCGCCGCGUGAGGGAUGACGGCCUUCGGGUUGUAAACCUCUUUCAGCAGGGAAGCGGUACCUGCAGAAGAAGCGCCGGCUAACUACGUGCCAGCAGCCGCGGUAAUAC